GCAUUCGUAGCUCAAUUGGAUAGAGCACCUGACUACGGAUCAGGAGGUUUGGGGUUCGAAUCCCUACGAGUGCACUA
rnacentral:tRNA from 1 species